GAUGAACGCUGGCGGCGUGCCUAAUACAUGCAAGUCGAGCGAACAGACGAGGAGCUUGCUCCUCUGACGUUAGCGGCGGACGGGUGAGUAACACGUGGAUAACCUACCUAUAAGACUGGGAUAACUUCGGGAAACCGGAGCUAAUACCGGAUAAUAUAUUGAACCGCAUGGUUCAAUAGUGAAAGACGGUUUUGCUGUCACUUAUAGAUGGAUCCGCGCCGCAUUAGCUAGUUGGUGAGGUAACGGCUUACCAAGGCAACGAUGCGUAGCCGACCUGAGAGGGUGAUCGGCCACACUGGAACUGAGACACGGUCCAGACUCCUACGGGAGGCAGCAGUAGGGAAUCUUCCGCAAUGGGCGAAAGCCUGACGGAGCAACGCCGCGUGAGUGAUGAAGGUCUUCGGAUCGUAAAACUCUGUUAUUAGGGAAGAACAAAUGUGUAAGUAACUAUGCACGUCUUGACGGUACCUAAUCAGAAAGCCACGGCUAACUACGUG
rnacentral:rRNA from 1 species